GUAGGUGGCGAGCGUUGUCCGGAUUUAUUGGGUUUAAAGGGUGCGUAGGCGUCCUGACAAGUUUUAGGUGAAAUGCCCAGGCUUAACCUGGGAGCUGCCUGAAAAACUGUUGGGAUUGAGUACAGACGAGGUAGGCGGAAUUGACGGUGUAGCGGUGAAAUGCAUAGAUAUCGUCAGGAACACCGAUAGCGAAGGCAGCUUACUAGACUGUAACUGACGCUGAGGCACGAAAGUGUGGGGAUCAAACAGGAUUAGAUACCCUGGUAGUCCACACUGUAAACGUUGAUGACUCGCUGUGUGCGAUAUACGGUACGCGGCUAAGCGAAAGCGAUAAGUCAUCCACCUGGGGAGUACGCCGGCAACGGUG
rnacentral:rRNA from 1 species